GGGGGGGGGGGGGGGGGUAGUAUCUGAAUGAUGGUUAGAUGGAUCUUGUUUUCGGCAAGGGAAGCUAGAGGCCCACUUGAAUCAGCAAUAAACAGUAGAUGCAAGCUUAAAAUUUGGUAACUGAAUGGUGGGUAGAUGCUGUCUCAAAUUUUGGCAAGGGAAGCUAGAGGCCCCGUUGAAUAACCAAUGAACAGGUAAACUUCUUACCCAACUUCUUUUUUGUCCUGCUAUGUAUGGUCACAAACAUGGUCAAUUGCACUUUUUUUUUUCUGCAAUCUGGCAUAUAACCAAAGUCAUUUGCAGCUGCCCGCUCCUUGCAUUGCAUCCCCAGAUUUUUGCCCCUUUAGUUUCUGAAUUUUGGUCCAUUUUGUCCUAGGUUCAAAUUGUAGGUCAAAGGCAUUUUUGAGUUCAAUACCUGGAAUUUUUCAAUGCUGAUCUGUUUACUCAAUUUGCAUGGAAUUCACCAUGCGCAAUCGGUUUGUCAUAAGCAACGCAAUUGCAUUUGUCUCUGACUAAAAUUGCAGACCUGCAUUUUGGCAUCCUGUUUUGUUGUUGAUUAUUGGUUGUUGUACAGAGGAUGUAUGCUUUUCUGGGAUUGUUUUUGGUUUGAUUUUUGACACUGACUGCGAGCCAUAGUUUGAAUUUACCCAGAGAGCAAAAAUUUGGCUAGCAACAGGGGGAAUUUGACAUGGUUAUCUGGUAUCACUGAAAGUAUUCCUUUUGAGUAGAAACGCAUCAUCGAUAAUUAUGGAUUUUCUUUCGUGUUCCACCUUAAUUCAUUUGGAGUUCCACGUUCCUUUGCCCAAUGGUUAGCGGACCACACCCAGGCUGAAAGUUCUGACAUCAUCGUCGAUAGUGGUGUCGUCCAUCUUAGCGUUGAGUCCUUUUCUGAAGUUAUUGGGCUAGAAAACUCUGGAUUGGAUGUAAAUGCUGAUUUUGAUGGUUCAUAAGAUCUGAUAAUCUUAUGAUGUAUCUAUUCUAUAUUUUCUAAAAUUGCAGAUUGCACUACGCCGUGCCCUUAAUUGCAGCACCCUUUUAGGAUGUUAAAUACCGUACUGAAAUUGAUUCAUUCUGGUUAUUUAUUUCUGACCCUUUGUUGUGUGCCCAUGUAGUUCAAAUUUGCACUACUAUAUACUCCUAGUUGCAACACUGUAACAUCUGCAUUUCAAAGCUUAACGAAGUGCAAUUGAUAA